rnacentral:rRNA from 1 species
UGGAAACACGGGAGUGCCUUCGGGAGCGGAGAGACAGGUGGUGCAUGGUUGUCGUCAGCUCGUGUCGUGAGACGUUGGGUUAAGUCCCGCAACGAGCGCAACCCCUGUCCCCUGUUGCCAUCAGGUUAUGCUGGGCACUCUAGGGGAACUGCCCCGGUCAACGGGGAGGAAGGCGGGGACGACGUCAAGUCAUCAUGCCCCUUACGUCCUGGGCUACACACGUGCUACAAUGGCCGGUACAAAGGGAUGCCACACCGCGAGGUAGAGCUAAACCCAAAAAGCCGGUCUAAGUUCAGAUUGGAGUCUGCAACUCGACUCCAUGAAGGAGGAAUCGCUAGUAAUCGCGUAUCAGCACGACGCGGUGAAUACGUUCCCGGGCCUUGUACAUACCGCCCGUCGCACCACGAAAGCCAG